AACGAACGCUGGCGGCAGGCUUAACACAUGCAAGUCGAGCGCCCCGCAAGGGGAGCGGCAGACGGGUGAGUAACACGUGGGGAUCUGCCCGAUGGUACGGAAUAACUCAGGGAAACUUGUGCUAAUACCGUAUGUGCCCGCAAGGGGAAAGAUUUAUCGCCAUCGGAUGAACCCGCGUCGGAUUAGCUAGUUGGUGGGGUAAAGGCCCACCAAGGCAACGAUCCGUAGCUGGUCUGAGAGGAUGAUCAGCCACACUGGGACUGAGACACGGCCCAGACUCCUACGGGAGGCAGCAGUGGGGAAUAUUGGACAAUGGGCGAAAGCCUGAUCCAGCCAUGCCGCGUGAGUGAUGAAGGCCUUAGGGUUGUAAAGCUCUUUCGCCGACGAAGAUAAUGACGGUAGUCGGAGAAGAAGCCCCGGCUAACUUCGUGCCAGCAGCCGCGGUAACAC
rnacentral:rRNA from 1 species